AGACAAUAUGCAGCGAGUAGGUGGCCAAGUGAGAACACGUGGGCGACUGCUAUGGCAAGGACGUUCCUAACUGUCGCGGUUUCGUUACCAGCUUACCGUUUCUCCCAUCGAAUCACCGAGUUCACGAGCCAUCAUCGACGAAGCCGCCCGGAUCCCCUUCGAUCCCCUGCGCAACAUCUGCUCUGAUCAUGAACGCAUAAAGGCAAGAAACCGUGAGAAAGCACCGAAUCGAGGGGCAAUUAAGAGAUCGGCGAUCGAUCGAGGGAUCCACCGUUUCCCGGAAACGACACCGGUGCCGCAGGAAAACGGUUGCUGGGAAAGAAACGGUUCUCGAGUUAAAGGGAGAGCUCAUGCGCUUGGAAGGUGCUUUUGGAGAACGAAUAUUUCGAGACGAGUGUAAAUCUCUAUUUCUCUUAUUUUAUUCUCGAGCCAAA